CAGAAUCCUCCAAGGCCAAUGGUGAGAAAAGUCAGCACACCUGAUGAGGACCCGGGGUGCGGUAGACGUCCUUGCCAUUUUUGAUGACUAAGCUCGAAGCACUCCAUGGCACCUGCUUCAGUCAUCUUCGUUGUAAUUGGAACAACUUGUUCUCUUCUGCUCAUUCUGCCCCAGGAAGUCUUCACACACUUGCAGCAGACUCCCUCCUAACUCACUGAUAGAUUUGAGACCUGUUGCUACCCUCAGAGUGAUUUAGCUCCUCACACCUUAUCGGAGUGUGGCUGCCCUUAUUAUACUUUCUUGGAGUUACAGGGCCAUCUGGGUCCAGGGAACAGAACGACUGCAGUCAUAAUCUAUAUAAUCAGCAUCUGAAUUGAAUGAUGGCCUCUGACCCUGAUGCCCCAGACAAAAAGAAUGAUUUAAGACCAAAGCAAGUACAAUGAAAUAAGAGAAAAUACUCAAAAUC